CCUACGGGUGGCAGCAGUGAGGAAUAUUGGUCAAUGGUCGGGACACUGAAGCAGCCAAGCCGCGUGAGUGAUGAAGGUACAGGGUAUCGUAAACCUCUUUUGUCAGGGAACAAAGGAGGGGACGUGUCCCCGGAUGAGUGUACCUGAAGAAACAGCAUCGGCUAACACCGUGCCAGCAGCCGCGGUAAUCCGGAGGAGGCGAGCGUUAUCCGGAUUUAUUGGGUUAAAAGGGUGCGCAGGCGGUCUGUUAAGUCAGCGGUCAAAGCCCGGGGCUCAACCCCGGCCCGCCGUUGAAACUGGCAGUCUCGAGUUGGAGAGAGGUAUGCGGAAUGCGCGGUGUAGCGGUGAAAUGCGUAGAUA
rnacentral:rRNA from 1 species